GGAGCUGGAGGCUGGGUGACAAUGAAUGCAGCAAGGUCAGCUCUCUGGAAAGUUUCAGGAGUGCUGCAAUGGCUGAAUGAUCUAUUGAUGAAGAAAGGAAAUAUAAAAUAUUGAAGAAGCAUUCUGUAUUUGUUUAAUUCCUGAGUCUGUUCAACCUGAAGAGAAGUUCCUUAGUUUAAAUAACUAAUGGCAAUACAGUGCAGAAGAAAGAAAAUAUAGGAAUAUGUAAUCUUUGUUGGAAACCUUCUUUGUAGGAGCUUUUCCAGAGAUUUUGUAUCUCUCUUCAAACUCUGAGUGUUAGGAAAGAUGUAAUGUAAUAUCAAACUUCAUUUUUUUCUCUUAUUCUACAGUUCCUUCUUUUAAAGCAUCUCUUCCAAGCUGAUAGCCUCCUAAAUUUCUAGACACAAUUGUAGUCUUUGUAGGAAAUUACUUAUCGUGAUGAUUGCGGCCUCACUGGCAUCAUUUCCAUUUGAAAUUCACCAGUAUUAAAGAAAUGAAUGACGCUAUCUUAAAAAAAAAAAAAAUGUUUUUUGGAGGCACAGGAGGUCUUGUCAGACAGCAUCAUCCAGCUAAAUCUUUAGGACAGUUUGACUCAUUUUUCUUUCCCUAAUAUGUGCAUCUCUGUACAAAUGAGGUCUUGCUUUCAGUGACUCAACCCUUAGUCUUUCAAAAUGGCCCAAUAAAGAAAGGGAAUGACUUUAUCUAAUUUUCUGAACAUUUUUGCUGUUAUCAUAUUAGUUGUUUCCAGGACAAUGGGCAGUUCAGAGCUUGCUAACAGCUCUUCCUACUGUCUUCCUACUGAUUCACAGGUAACACAAUGUGAAAAAGUUCUGGUCCCUUACCUCAGUUGGACCAGGUAUGGAGGAGUUUCUGGGACUAUUUGGCACUCACAUUCUUGUAAAUCCUUUUGAGAGAAAUAGAUAAGCACAGAUUCUCACCUCUUGUUCCUUCACUUACAAGCUACUUCUCUCAAAUGCUGGGGGGAAAACCCAUCCAUGCAGUUUUUGGAAGAGGGGCAACUUCCCAAGUGCAAGGUGGGCUUGCAGAAAGGAUCAGGCCCAGCCAGUCACAUUCUUUUCUUGCAGGGACACACGCUUCUGGAGUGGAAAGACUCCAGCCUUGCCCUCCCCUGCAGUAACCUCUUGUGGUUGAAUGCCUGCUGUUCAGUUUUGUCUUUGGGCCACAUGUCUCUAAGAAAGGUCUUAUCUCAGUCACUACCCUUGAAAAUCCACUAUUUCAUUUUUGAGCUGACCCUGGCGUUCCUGGUGCCAUGGUGGCACGUCUGCUGCUGCCCCUGUCCCUGGGGGGUGCCUACCCCAGCCUGCAGCUGGGACAGCGGCCCUGGAACCCCUGCUGAUGCCAUGGAGAGCCAAACCCAAGCACAAUGCAUGUCAGGCUCUGCGCAGCCUUUCCUGAAUCUCUCCCAGUUUCUCUAGGCUAGCUACUAAUACAACCCACCUGGCUUUCUCCCAUCCAAAAAAUGAAAAAAGAGGCAAGUUCCCAGAAAGAAAACAACAGGGAAGCAAGGAUAUUACACAGAGAAUGUAUCAGCUGUGUGAUUUUUAUGUAACAACAAUUUUAGGAGGUUUCAACUCAUUUUUGUAUCGUAGUAACAUCUUUUUGUGCUGCUGCAGCUACGACUGGGCUGCACUCUGAAAUGGAUCAGCAGGAGAUCCAAAAAAAAAAAAAAAAGCCUUUAAUCAGGUCCAAAAGCAUUGGUCUCAUUCUGAUUCCUGCAACUAGUUUGCAGCUCCAUAGAGAGAGGUCUAGGCCCAAGCUGGAAGGUGGGAAAAUGUAGCUGGGAGGUGGCCAACAGCUCCUCAAGCCGCUGGUCCUCCAAGGGACCGCAGUGAGGAGCCAGUCCCACACACACCCUCCUGUGGAGGCAAGUGCAAAGGGUGUGUGUGCAGGCAUCCUGCUGGAUUUGCCCCAGUAGCAGACUCUUUUUGGUGCUCAGUUGCAAAGCACCACAAUGAACAAUGCUGUCACCAGGCUUGCAGCUUAUCAAGGAGGGCAGCUGGAUCACAGAGUCACAGACAGCUGCUUUGGGAAGGGACUCAGCCUGCUAACAGUGCCUGUACUGCCAUAUGACGUUCUGCAAGAGUGAGUUUUGCCUUAUAAAGUGUGUGGUGCCUCUAUCCCUAAAUUCCUGGCUUUUGAAAGAGAGGUAGAAGCUUGCAGAUCAUUCAGGAAUGUGAAUGGAGCAACUAAUGUUUAAAGGAAGUAGUAGGUGUAUAUUUUGAUCUUGAACUGCAGCAACGUUAGUGAGUACAGAUGGGGAUGUGGCAAUAAUGUUAAGGGAAGUAUUGGUCAGUUUUGCGUUUCUUGUGGCUAUUGUUGAAUGAAAUGCAGCUGAAAAGAGAGAAGAGAUUGCAUGCAAUGUUUCUUUUUAUUUUAUUUUUUGGUAAUGUGAAUGCAAGCUAAUCCCAACAGGACUAGUCAUUGAUGUUUCAAAAAACUACCCCUGGAAACACAGAUAUUUCAAGAAAUGUUUAAAACAACAACAAACAAAGAGUAAGAGCCAUUCAAAGAGACUGGGAAUGUUAUAAGGACAAAAGUAUCCCAGUGGGAAGUGUCUGAAUUAGAAGAGAUGUAAGAGGAUGCUGUGAAGUAGAUGAUUGCUCGUUGGGCGAAGGAAAGAAUCAACGCAUCAGGGUGAGCUUCUCCCAGAGCGAAUGUCCAUAUAUCCAGGACAAGGCAGUUUUCUAUCUCACUGUUCCUCUUCCGUGACUUUCCUCCCUGAAAGAUGUACUCCCUGCACAGGACUGUCUCCUCCGAAGUCAUUGAUUCUUUCAGCUCUUAGCUCUGUAAAAAGACCCUUGUGGGUUAGCAGCACAUAAACUCAGUAACCAUAGUCUGCUUUGAGAGACUGUCAAUAUAGAAGGCUCCAUCAGUUCUCUGUUUGUUUACAUUGGUAUGUAUUCCAAAUUGCUGUCUCUAAUACCUGGGCCAGACUUGGAACUAAUUUACUGAACAUACCUGGUGUUUCACUUCCUGAAAGGGUCGAAUUAAAGUGGUGUUAAAGUAACAAACGUACUCAAAGAGCUUUAGCACAAAAUGUUAUGAAGAUUUGCAUUAGUUCCAGGCAUUAGAGCUGAAUAUUUUAGAUGUUUCAUAGUAUGCACUGGGUUCCUUUUAGUUACCUUUGUAAAAUCCAGUCCAUGCUAUGGAGGUAAUGCAGCAUUUGGAUUGCAAGGGCACGUAGUACAACACCAAGCAUCAGUUCACCACGGAUAUUUUUACACGAUAUCAGUCUGUACAGUAUGUCAGUCUUCUCUAGGGCAAAGCUGAGCCAGCAUAUCAGAAAGAAUGUAUUUUUGGCUCCUUCCUCAAGUGUAAGCAUCCUGGCUAAUCCCACAUAGGUCAUCUGAUCAUCCCUUUUUAUUCUUCCCACAAUAUGGGAUAAAGAUUUCACUACUUCCCAGGAAAGCUGUGAGAAUAAAAACUCAAAUGCUACUUCAGGAAGAUUUUAUGAAGUACCUUGGCAGAUAGUCAGUCUGCACCCAGCACCUUUCUUUCACGUUUUUCCUCACAGAGAGGAAUUCAAAAGACAUUGAAAAUGUGUGGUGUCUGUUCACCUCCCAGUAAUUCAUUCCACUGAAAGAAAGAAUAGC
rnacentral:lncRNA from 1 species